UGGGGAAUAUUGCACAAUGGGCGCAAGCCUGAUGCAGCGACGCCGCGUGAGGGAUGGAGGCCUUCGGGUUGUAAACCUCUUUCGCCAGUGAAGCAGGCCAUCUUCUUUGUGGGGUGGUUGACGGUAGCUGGUUAAGAAGCGCCGGCUAACUACGUGCCAGCAGCCGCGGUAAUACGUAGGGCGCGAGCGUUGUCCGGAAUUAUUGGGCGUAAAGAGCUCGUAGGCGGCUGGUCGCGUCUGUCGUGAAAUCCCCUGGCUUAACUGGGGGCUUGCGGUGGGUACGGGCCGGCUUGAGUGCGGUAGGGGAGACUGGAAUUCCUGGUGUAGCGGUGGAAUGCGCAGAUAUCAGGAGGAACACCGGUGGCGAAGGCGGGUCUCUGGGCCGUUACUGACGCUGAGGAGCGAAAGCGUGGGGAGCGAACAGG
rnacentral:rRNA from 1 species